GAGAGAGAGACAUGCGCGCAUAUCAAUAAGCGGAGGAAAAGAAGCUAACAAGGAUUCCCCUAGUAACGGCGAGUGAAGCGGGAAGAGCUCAAAUUUGAAAUCUUAAAGGGUUUCCCUUUACGAAUUGUAGUUUAAAGAAGUGUUUUCUGUUGAGGUUUUGGUAAAAGUUCUUUGGAAUAGGACAUCAUAGAGGGUGAGAAUCCCGUAUUUGACCUUUACUUUCAACUUUGUGAUACACUUUCAAAGAGUCGGAUUGUUUGGGAAUGCAGUCCAAAAUGGGUGGUAAAGUUUCAUCUAAAGCUAAAUAUUGGCGAGAGACCGAUAGCGAACAAGUACCGUGAGGGAAAGAUGAAAAGAACUUUGAAAAGAGAGUUAAACAGUACGUGAAAUUGUCAAAAGGGAAGCGUUUGACACCAGUGUUGUUUUUCUGAAAAUCAAUUAAAGAACUGUUUAUGCUAAGCUGUUUAGACUUUAUCAGCUAACUGUUUAGUUUUGAGCUUUUCUUUAAUGCACUUUUCAGUUAACAAGUCAACAUCAAUUUCUUUUGCUGUAAAAAAGCUUGAGGAAGGUGGCUUGAGAUUCGUCUUAAGUGUUUAUAGCCUCUUGCCUAUGCAGUCGGAGAGAUUGAGGUCUGCAGCGUAGAUCCUUCGGGGCUAAAUGCAUUUGUGCUAAGUUAUAGCAUUUUAUAGACAACUUGUUGACUAUGAUUUGUCUUGUAGCUUACUCGCUUAUGUUAUUUUACCUACGCUUAGGAUGUUGACGCAUGAGAUAUACGC
rnacentral:rRNA from 1 species